UGUUUUGAGCAUGCAGUAUACCAAGAGGUUAACAAGGUGCUCUCCUGCACCUGAGUUUACAUUCACCACUCAAAAUCACACGCACAAACACAACUAAUAAUUUCUUUCAAGAUUUAAAGUUUAAGAAGUUUAAGAGAGUGAGUACUUAAUUGAACAACAUGUCAUUAACAUGCCUUAGUCUUUGCUCCUCCUUGAGUUUCUCCCGCGGUUGUGUCUGUUUGAAAAUCUUCUUCUGUUGCUAACUUGGGGACUCUUUGGGGUAAAUAGUAUGUCUAUGCAGCGAAUAGGGUUACAGAUGCGCUCCUUAGCGCCAUCUAUCGUCGGGGAGUUUGAAAAGGAAUGAAGGCGCUUCGGCCCAAAAUCAGAAUUAUUAUUUUUUUCGCCGUGAGAAAUUGGUUGUGUGGCGUGAGUGCGUGUGAAAACAUGCAAAAGCGUGUGUCACACGGCAAAACCGUGAGAGUUGGUCGCUCUGAAUUAGUGAUGUACGUUGUGGCUAAAAUGUCUGCAGUUGUUUCGGGCAGACGCGCUCUCAGUCCGCUGGUGCGCGCGCACACGGACACGUGCCGUGUUCUGCCUCAUCUGUACAAUCUCUCUCUUAGGGGAUCUCCUCCCGCUGCAUGCCGCCUAUCGGAGGGACGCCUUUUACGGCUACUUGUCCUGCCCCAUCCCCGCCACUGGUCGUUGUAUCGGUGGCUGAGCCAAGACUCAGACUAACCGUGACUUUGGAGCGACCCGGAUGUACCUGUGGGGAAGACCGUCUGCGGCACGCAGACAGCAACAUUGAAAUUGUGAGCAUGACGGACCGUUUCUACUCUGGUCCGUGAUGUGAAGCAGUUACGAGGCCAGCUGGACGCAGUCGUUGAUGACCUGGUCCCAAGAGCGCCAGAGGUCUACAAAGCUACAGAUACUAAAGACAUUUUGAACUGCCUCAAAGAUGUAUGAGGUUGCUUAUUAUUUGUAAGUCCAUUUUACAAUUACUUUUAAGGUUUUUCUGUCUGACCCUUUUGUGAAUAUUCUCUUUAACUCCACAGACUAUCUUGUUUAAAUACAGUAUAGAGGUUGUUAGAUAUCUGCAUGUUAUAAUGUAAAACUAUUCAUUCUAAUGUGAGAAUAAUUAUAAUUUUUGCAACAAGACAUGGUGUUUCUCAUAGCUAUAAAUUGUCAUUUGAAACAAUCCAUACUUUUAAGUAAAAUUAACUAGGAAAGUAAUUUUAACUCAAAUGAGCGAGUUGAAAUAAUUACUUAGACCUAGUAAACACAAUGCAUGAUCUCUGGAGCUGUGGACGCAUCCCACCGUCAGGCUGGAAUCUGGUUGGGAACCAUUGUAGCAGACUAGCUGCUCUUUAGCAUGUUGGACACAUCAGCAUGACACGGUUACAGAAAAUGUAUUUCCCGCCAAAUAACACUGGUUGCUGAAGCCUGUUUUGGGAGGAGGGUGUUUUAAAACUGUGACCGUGAACUGAGAGAAUAAACAUGUCCCUCAAUAUGUAGAUAAGAUUGCAGUUUAGUGACACUGGAAUGUUUGGACAGGUUGUCUCCAGUGGCAGAGAGACACCUUUUACUUGAAAUACAAUAUUGUAUCGUAAAGCACAUUCCAUCUAUGCAGCUUCCUGAUCCUGAGCACUUUGUUGGUGCCAAAGUGUGACACUUGUGUUAGUGAGUCCACCUCUUCACUCUGCUGCUACUGAUGCAUCCGGCUUCGCUGUCCCGGUAACUGAGAAUACUCUUCUUAUAAUAAAAAUUGAAUGUUUAACAAUCAUUUUCUCUUGGAAAUAAAAUGUGCAAUCGAGAAGCUGCCCUAAAAUAAGGCUUUGAGGUGGGACUAACAUGGACACAAUCAGUGAUAACUUAAGGCUUAUUUUUUUCAAAAUAGUAACAAAUGUGACAGCAAUAAUUUUGUGGGGAAAUUUGGACUCUUUGGGCAGAAUUCUUACCUGCAAGUCCGCUUUGCUCCGUGAAAAGUACAAGACUUGCCAUAGAGAAGAGUCAGAUAUCCGUGUAGCCCCCCGCAUGUCAACUGCGGUCAAAGAACCUGUCCACUUGCCAUUGUACCACUUUAUUUGGGGUCGUCGUGGCGCAGGGGGUAGAGCGGGUGCACUGGGAACUGCAAGUUUGGUGAUUCGAGUCCCGGCUGCCCCAUGUCUCAAGUUGAAGUGUCCCUAAGCAACACCACGACACCUAACCCUUUUUUGAAUAAAAGCGUCAGCUAAAUGACCUGUAAUGUAAUGAAAUCUUCAUCCUUUGACCUCUUCGGUUUACAUUCAGGAUUGAAGUUGGCCAAAUAAUGAUUAUAUACAAAGAAACCAAAAGUGAAUUUGAAAUACAUCUGUAAUAACCGUCAUAAAUAGCGUAAACAAAGUUAAAUAUAAUUAAAUCUAUGGUUUAAAUACAUGUAUUCGCACGUUUACUCUGCGUCUCCUUGAACUGUCUCUGCUCUGCCUUCACUGACACAAUGCGUGGAAGAUAAAUAUCUGAUCCAAGAGCAACGAGUGUGCGUGUUGUCAACUAUUGGUGCUAACACAUCCCGUCGGACCAGGAUUAUUUAUUUAUAUCCAUUAACUUUUAACCGCUGGCUUCGCAGACGGAUUUAUAGCAUACACACGUUCCAUUGCGUUGACUCUUACUGUGAAAAUCUGCGUACUUCCGGUUUAUUGGCUCCGCUUCGUAUUUUCGUCUUAUGGGAAAAAAAACCAAAAGGAUUAACGGAGUAAAAAGUUGUCAGUCUGUCUCGCUUUUUGGUUCUAAAGGAAAAACGAGAAAACUGCGGUUCAUUUCCGUUUUACCGCUUUUGAUUAAAAACGAGAAAAUAAUGUUUUCGUUUUCUGGUUUUUACGGUAAAGGGGACUAUGAAAAGGUCCCUUUUCUUUUUUUUACUUCUUCCUGCUUGUCUCACAAGAACUCCACUCUUCCCUUCCUUGCUGAAGGGGUCUGGCCUGGAACCCGCCUCAGUCUCUCUGCAGCUGCAGAGAGAUGAUGUUCUUUUGUGUUUUAUAAUGCUGCAGACCACCAAACAAUAAAUGCCCAAUGUUAUCCUAUUACUUGAAGACUGUGGAUUAGUGGAGAGCAGGUCGUCCUGCACACCUUCCCUCACAAACCACUUCCUGUCUUUGUUCAGUUUCCCGCUCUUUUCCCCACACUUGAAUUCAUUCAGUCAUACUAUACAUCACAUAGUCUUUAUCUGAACCCCAACCACUAAAGUUAUCUUAUAAUCACAAAAUGUAGUGAGUAUUUAUUCCUCGACGUUUGUUACGUUACUGACUUAGAAAGUGAUAUUUCAGGUUCAUAACUCUUUGAGCUCAAUUUGAUCCAUUUCUGUUAAGUAUAAAGUAUCUAUAGUUUGAUGGAAACUUAACAGCAGUUUGUUGUCUAAUGUGUAUCUAAAAACACAUCGGUUACCAGCUUAACUUAAUCAAUUAAAAAAAGAAAUCGAUCUAUCGAUAGAUAUUCGAAUGAAUUCUAGUAUUAACUUAUAUUUAAGUCAAAUCUUCCUCCGCUGCCGGCUGACAUGUCUCCAUCCUGGAUCAGGUCACAAUGCAUGAUGGGAUACGAUGGGCCGCAAAGGAAACAUCAGAUGUGUCCUCCAUAAGGCGCCUGUUGGGCUGCAUCUUUACAUGUCCGCAUUUGGAGGAGCCGACUGAACGGGAGAGUUGAGUCGCAGACAAAGUGACGAGCAGCCUCCCCCGGAGGAUGCAGCCGACCAAAUGAGACACGGCCGCGUGCCCUCGGGCAAGACGCUUAACGCCUACUGAUUGGCAGGUGUCACUGUGUGUGGUCGCUCCUGUUAUCAGUAAUGGAUGUGAAUGAGAGCUUCAAGUUGUCAGAAGACUAGAAAAAAAAAUGAACUCUACAAAAACAGCCCAGUUAUCAAUAGUGAUUUUUUUGCAUAAAACACAUCAUUUAAAUAAAUAAGAUUGUUGUUGCUAAGUAGUUUUAAUUUCAUAUUAUGCUUGACAUUAGUGUUCGGAAGUCUUGUUAUGUAUUUUGUAUUGCUGCGCGUCGCGCCUAACAACACCCCGAACUUACAUUACUGAAGAUAAAGUACUGCCUCAAGUAUCUUAUUGCUUUAAUACGGGGUCGCUGCGGUAGAGCGGGUGCUUGGUAAAGGUUGGUGGUUUGAGUCCCGACUGCUUCAUGUCCCAUGUCGAUCGCCACCGAGCUAAAAGCUCAAAUCUAACCUGUUACUUUGAGUGCGCAGUGAUACGGAACGCUCGGGUCAAUGUGAACAGCAACUGUACAUUAUCAUGACUCCCUCUCAACCAAUCAGAACGCUGGGUUUCAUCUACCCGUAUUAUAAAGUCUAUAUAUAAUACCUCUAUCUAUUAAUGCCCAUCUUCUCGUGGCAUAUUUCUACUGGAGGCAUUAACGAUCAGUAAUAAAACUUGAGGCACCACUAUGAAGCUUUAACUAUGUAAUUAAUCUGCAACACCCCCUCAAUUCAGCCCUCAUAAAUGACAUUAUAUUGACCUGAGCUUUUCCUACAGUUACAUGUGACGUGAGAAAUGUGGGAUUUUAUCAUUAAGAAUUACAAAAAGUGUACAUCAAGAUAUAUCUGCUACUGAUUUAAAUUAUUCAGAAUAAGAAUUUGGUGGGUAUAAGGGAUGAGGUUACGUGUGUCUGAAAAC
ensembl:lncRNA